GCCUGCGGCACUGGUUCCUCUUGUGGGGUGGUGCAGAAGGCGAUGUGCCCCAGUGCUGCAUCUCCACGUCCCAUGAGCCAUAGGGGACAGCAGGGUCAGCUCUGCGGCCUGGUGCUUCAGGCAGGGCUCCUGCACAGGUGAACAGUGCUGCCUGUUCAGGUGCCUCAGACCCCCAACAUCUCAUUGAGAACCAAAGCAGGGCAUCAGGAAGGAGCAAAGGCAAAAAUCUGAGGCCAAUCAGAUCCAGAUUUCAUCCUGAGAAGUGCAAAAUAUGUGGCCAGGUCACUCCAACAGCUCCAGUGCAAUCACUGCUCUCAUCUGUUUGUGAAUGUCCUUUGACUUGCUCUUGAUCUUGGCAAGAAGCUCAC
rnacentral:lncRNA from 1 species